GAUGAACGCUGGCGGCGUGCCUAAUACAUGCAAGUCGAGCGAACAGACGAGGAGCUUGCUCCUCUGACGUUAGCGGCGGACGGGUGAGUAACACGUGGAUAACCUACCUAUAAGACUGGGAUAACUUCGGGAAACCGGAGCUAAUACCGGAUAAUAUAUUGAACCGCAUGGUUCAAUAGUGAAAUACGGUUUUGCUGUCACUUAUAGAUGGAUCCGCGCCGCAUUAGCUAGUUGGUAAGGUAACGGCUUACCAAGGCAACGAUGCGUAGCCGACCUGAGAGGGGGAUCGGCCACACGGGAACGGAGACACGGUCCAGACGCCUACGGGAGGCAGCAGUAGGGAAUCUUCCGCAAUGGGCGAAAGCCUGACGGAGCAACGCCGCGUGAGUGAUGAAGGUCUUCGGAUCGUAAAACUCUGUUAUUAGGGAAGAACAAAUGUGUAAGUAACUAUGCACGUCUUGACGGUACCUAAUCAGAAAGCCACGGCUAACUACGUG
rnacentral:rRNA from 1 species